AGUUGCCUAAGAUUAAAAUCAAGUAAAUGAUAAUCGAAUACCUCCAAUGUCCGAAUGUCGGUUUCCAAAUAGUUUUGCUUGCUGUGAACUUUGAUGAAGGUUAAAAUGUUGAACUUUCAUCUAACUCCCCAUUUUCCACACCUCCCUGUCCUAAAAUAUAAGGCAAUUGUGUUGUAUUCAUCAAGAUGCAAGAGUUAUUCAAAGCAAUUUGGCAGCAGCUCUUGAUAAGCUCUCAAUUCUGCCUUUUUCGUCUAGCUGCCCCUCACACACAGUCCUGGCAAACGGUGAAUGAAAAGACUCACCAAAAACUGUCCAGUAAACAGGCCAGGCAGCAACCGAUUCAGCAUGAAGGGAUCCAGUCAGGGGAGGAGAGGGAAGUAAAGAUGGUUGAGCAGGUGACAGAAGAGGUUAAAGACGAUGAACGUCCUCUGAUCUCCGUUCUCCAUCCUGUCCUCUCGGUCAACGGCGCACUACCUUUGGAUGAGUGGUGCGUGUAUCCCAGUGCCCCUCUUACACUCAGCGAGGGCUCCAUGCGCUCAGACAGUGUGGAGGACUGUCUGGAGCCAGCCAAGAACACAGACCUCCUGACGGGUGACCUAAGGUUGUCAGAAGUAAGACAGGAGCAGAUCGGUUCCAUUGUGCUGAAUCUCAAAGUAUCCCAGGUACUGCUGCAGCAGGGCGACGCCAGCCUAGAUGUUGUGGAGAGCUGCCUCCGGACCAGGGGAGGGAACGACGAGGUGGACUGUAGAGAAGCUUCCCCCACAAACCCAUCCAAGUAUAGGAGUGCUGUCGGCCCGCCUUCACCUCGCUACCGUCGGCCACCUCGUCCUCUAGCCAAGACACUGGAAAGACAAGGACAUUAUGGAGAGCGACCGCAGAGUCAGGAGCGAGAGAGAGAAGAGCUGACCUUUGGGAUGGCUCCUUCUCCCUUUUUGAACAAUGAUUGUCAGGAAUAUAGAAAGAAAUCUUAUGAGCAGACUAAUCGAAGUAGCUUGAUUAACAAGGGAUCACUUGAUAUUCAUCCAAGACCAAAGCAUGAGGAAGUUGGAGGCAUAAAUUCCAGGGCUUGGUCCCACCUUCAGGAUCUCCCUGGAACACGGAAAAUAAAUGAGCUCAUAGAGAGGUCAUGCGCCUCACCAGACUUUCUGGAAGGGAUCCAGUCGUCUCUACAGCAGAUGGGCGUCCAGGCCCAAGCCACAAAGACCGGUAAUACCAUAAACCUGAUGCAUAUUUACUGCUUCAGUUUUUUGGUUGUUUUGUGGUUCCACAGAGCCUGUUCUCUGGUCUCUAUAGGAGAGUUGCAUAAUGGACCUUUAAAAAAAAUGAAUGCCCCAAUGCCAUUUCAUUAGUUUGAGUACUGAGUAUUCACUGUAUUCAUAUAUGUUGGUUGCCAUUGUCUAGUGUGGCUAACAUUAGCAAACAUUUUGACGAAAAUGAACGGUAUCAAGGUCGCCCGUCUCCGGGCUCACAACGAUGAACAAAGCCCUCCGCCGUGCUCUUACCUCUGCUCCCUGCUCAGGGAAUCCGCUGGCUUUGGAUUUGUCAGGGUGGAGGCAAAGAUAAUGAUGCACUUCCUUUGGGCUGUGAUUGACCCUCUUGGUCUAGCUGUCGGUCGGUUGACCUGGUACGCAGGACAAGGACCGAUGACACGGACCCUGGGGGGAAAGGCAGGACCUUCAUCCCCUCAGGCGUCAUUAAGGAUCCCCCCCCCCCCCACACACACACACACACACAAACACACUCGGGAAUCUCUAGUCCUGACUGUCUUUUGAUGGAAGGGUUUUCUACAAAGGACAAUACAAAAGAGUCAGCUAAACAUGAGAAUAAGUAGCAGCUAGAAGGUGUGUUCAUUUUGCCCCUGUUUACUGAUACUGAGGUCCAUUGCAGAUAGCAGCAGUGAGAGUGAGUCUGACAGAGAUUUCCACACAGUCAAUCAGACCUUCGCGUUGACUUCUAAAGGCUGUGACGACCAAGAGCCUUCACAGGUAAAAAAAGAGAGUCAAACCCAGAGUGUGGACAACUUGAAACAACAACACGCUCGCCCUGACCCGUUUGAUUGCGUUUCCAGGAGGAAUCCAACUCUGAUACAGACGAUCGCCACACUACCCUGAGAUCAUGUCCUACUGUGCACAACCCCGACCCAAAAGCUACCCAGAGUCAAGUAAGGGAAUCUUUCAUCCCUAAACAAAUAGUCAUUGACUGUGUUGCAGCCACACAGGAUAUUCCUGAUGCCACAGAAUGGUGUAUUCUGUGGACGAGUGUAUUGAGUGUGUUACCCUUUUGAAUCCGAUCCAGGAUCCUGGCUCAGAAGAGGGUGGAGAUGUAAUCCCAGUGGUGUUCGGACCAGAGGGUUGCAGACCAGAAGGACAUUUAGCCAACAUCACACACUGCGGUCAGAAAUUAGUAUCAAAGCCUGUUAACUAUUAUUUAUAUAACCCAUGCACAAAGAAAAUAAGCUAUACGUGCAUGGAUUUAAAUUCAGAUAUCAGAAACUAUGGGUGAAACGGUCCUCAUUACUCUUUAAUAUUUAAUAUUAUCGUUUUAUUAAACAGACUCCCUGUUUUGUGGGAAAAGACGUUUAAAGUUAUGAACCAGUUCAUAAUAUUUAAAUAUUAAUACAAAGCAGUAAUGGCCAAUAAUGCUCCUCUCUAAUCACUUCAUCCAGAGGAUGAAUGUGUUCUGAGUGAAAAGGAAAUGCCCUUCGAUGGGGACUCUGCUAGACCAGCGCUGUCGAGACUCAAGAACACCACAUCAGACCCAUCAUGCCUGGCUCAAGUCGACUCAGACAUGUAAGUGUCCACAUAUAUUGAUGUAUCUUUAUAUACCUUUUCCUGUACGAUUGUAUAGGCAAAAACUCUUGAGAUACCUAAGAGGCAGAGAUACAUAAGAGGCCUACAGCCUAUGUAAAGGUCUUCCUUCUGUGACGCAAUAAUUAUAAGAAGUAUUUUAAAGCCAUCCUUUUUGGUCAAAUAAUGAGGGGAAUUCUGAUGAUCCAUGAACAGGCUGCAACACUUUACAGAGCUGGCUGAACUCUCCAGCAUCACAGGCUCUCCUGGCCAGCACCAAGACGGGCUCUUUCGGACCUCCCUCAACAGGCCUCCUCCACCGUGCAACAGCACACCACGGAGCCUGGGUAAACACACUGCCCCUCCUCCUUUACCUUGAGCCCUGUGCUCCUUAGAGGAGCAGAAUGUCCAAACCUUUUUUUAGGGCUGAAUAGUUUCCAUGUUUUUUAAAAUAGUUGUAUAUCUUUUGUUCUGUUGAUGUUUGUGUUGUAUAAUUCUAUUCAACAGCGCAUUUGAAAUCCAACCCUACGGGCACUGAGGUGACCAACAGCCCCAUCCUGGAGGCUCCAGCAGUCCAGUGGACUUCUAUGUCUUUGAACUCUGAGAGCUUUACCACAGCAGCUGCAGAUGUUUCAGGGGACGGCCUCGUAAGUGGCCAAUGCUGUCAACAGUCCGAAACCAUUUGGCUACUUCUCUGGUUGAAUAUCAUUGUCUGGGAUUGCACUGGUUAAUUAUCAACUAUCUUUCUUUUGCCAUUACCAGCAGGACAACCUGGUGGCCACAAACACUAUUCAGUCUCCAUUCUUGAAAGUCGACCCUGGCCCCCAGCCUCCUAGUCACCUCCUGCAGAGCCCUGACUUGAACCUUGCUGGCUCCACGGACCGGGCACAGUGUCCUGGGCCUGGGAAGGAGCAGAGAGGAGCCGGGAGGGAGGCAGUGGAGGGAAGGCAAGAGGAGCAACAUGCCGAGGGAGCAGGACCGUGUGCAGGGUUGGAUGAGGGGGAUAGAAGUGGACAGCAGGGGGAUGGGAAGGGCCACUGUGUGGAGGCAGCGGAGCAUGCAGGACCGGACCACCGAGGCGCCACUGAGCAGCCUCUGCCUGGAGGCUGUGGCGCUGCUAGUGUUAUGAACAGAGGUUGGCAAAACACACAACCCGUCACUUGAAUCCAAGUGAUGCACACAUUCAUCACGUGACGAUCCCAUCUGAAUGUAUGUAGUUAUAUUUACUGUCCUUG
rnacentral:lncRNA from 1 species